CUUGGGAUGAGCAAAAUAAUUUCUUAUUUUAAUUUUUUGAGAAACAAAAAAAGUCCCAGUGGAAGCCGCAAACGGGAAUUGGAAAGUGGGGCAUUGUGGAUCUAGUGGUCCGCGUUGGCGUGUCAUACAUGGUAGCGUUUUGGAAGAGGAAAAAUACCAUGUCAGCGUUGAGGAAGAUACCACGUAUUCUGCAGAAGCAUUGCUGUAUUUUACCUGAAACAAACACAGGAAGAAUGGAAAGACAAAUGGCUACUGAAGCUGUGGUAGAGUGCCUUCUCAAAGG